UUAACUAAAACCAAAAAGAGGUAAAUUAUUGUUAAUAAUUUCAUUGAAUUUAAUAUUCUUGUUGAA
rnacentral:tRNA from 1 species